rnacentral:rRNA from 1 species
UACGAAGGGGGCUAGCGUUGCUCGGAAUCACUGGGCGUAAAGCGCACGUAGGCGGUUUCUUAAGUCAGGGGUGAAAUCCUGGAGCUCAACUCCAGAACUGCCUUUGAUACUGGGAGACUUGGAGUCCGGGAGAGGUGAGUGGAACUGCGAGUGUAGAGGUGAAAUUCGUAGAUAUUCGCAAGAACACCAGUGGCGAAGGCGGCUCACUGGCCCGGUACUGACGCUGAGGUGCGAAAGCGUGGGGAGCAACAGG